AUUUAAAUAGCUUAUAAAGAGUAUAAUAUUGAAGAUAUUAAGGAGAUUAUAAUAGUCUUUAAAUA
rnacentral:tRNA from 1 species